rnacentral:tRNA from 1 species
GGUGGCUCAGUGGAAGAGUGCUUGCCUUGCAUGCAUGAGACCCUGGGUUCGAUUCCUCAGCACCA